rnacentral:rRNA from 1 species
CUCAGGAUGAACGCUAGCGGCAGGCUUAACACAUGCAAGUCGAGGGGUAGAGGAAGCUUGCUUCCUUGAGACCGGCGCACGGGUGCGUAACGCGUAUGCAAUCUACCUUGUACAGGGGGAUAGCCCAGAGAAAUUUGGAUUAAUACCCCAUAGUAUUAUUGAAUGGCAUCAUUUAAUUAUUAAAGUUCCAACGGUACAAGAUGAGCAUGCGUCCCAUUAGCUAGUUGGUGUGGUAACGGCAUACCAAGGCGACGAUGGGUAGGGGUCCUGAGAGGGAGAUCCCCCACACUGGCACUGAGAUACGGACCAGACUCCUACGGGAGGCAGCAGUGAGGAAUAUUGGUCAAUGGGCGCAAGCCUGAACCAGCCAUGCCGCGUGCAGGAUGACGGUCCUAUGGAUUGUAAACUGCUUUUGUACAGGGAACAAGAAGGCCAUGCGUGGUUUAGUGAGUGACCU